AUUUAUUGCACACACCAACGUAACUUGAAAUAUGAUUCCUGUUCUCAAAGAAAAUAUUACCAUGGCGCAUGCGCGUCAGCAGAAAUUCCACGUCCAGACCGCGUGAUAGCUUAUUUGAAUCGCUCUGCUCAGUCGAGUCAGCGAUCUAGCAGCAGCAGCUCACUAGUAUAACGGUCGCCGACUCGCCGUCCAGUUGAUGUGAAUUAGCCAUGGUCACCAAGCAAGUUAUUUUCACUACAGCAUUUCUUAGAAGGUAGGCAGUACACAGGUUUGCUAUACGUGAGUGCACUGGCUGCUGGAUGUGGCAUGUUUUAACUUUUAACUUCAGCAGUCUUCGAGGGAAGAAGUUUCUAAUUAUUUUGAAGACCAACCCAUACAUCUCUUCAAGGUUGUUGCUGGGCCUGCAUGACAACUCGUCGAGUAGCAGAGGCCAAGGCGAGGGGAGGACAUAGCUUCAUUCUGGAAGUUUGCCC